rnacentral:misc_RNA from 1 species
GAUGAAGAACGUAGUGAAAUGCGAUACGUAAUGUGAAUUGCAGAAUUCAGUGAAUCAUCGAGUCUUUGAACGCACAUUGCGCCCCCUGGUAUUCCGGGGGGCAUGCCUGUCCGAGCGUCAUUGCUGCCCUCAAGCACGGCUUGUGUGUUGGGCCUCCGUCCUCCUCCCGGGGGACGGGCCCGAAAGGCAGCGGCGUCACCGCGUCCGGUCCUCGAGCGUAUGGGGCUUCGUCACCCGCUCUUGUAGGCCCGGCCGGCGCUUGCCGACACAUCAAUCUUUUUUCCAGGUUGACCUCGGAUCAGGUAGGGAUACCCGCUGAACUUAAGCAUAUCAAUAAGCGGAGGA